AACGAACUUGCAAUUGCAAUUGCAAUUGCAAGUGGAUGAAUCAUCACAGCGACAACAAAACACCCAAAACCCAACUUUUGCUUUCUUCUGCAAGUUUCCAAAACCAAGUGGACUCUUCAGUUCUUUGAGAUCAGAAUGAGAUUGCGCGCGACGUUGUCGUUUUAGCACCAUUCAUGGCUUACUACGAUUCUGCGCCUUCUGUCCCUCUCCUAUGGAACUUCUCUCAAGUACUCGGCCAACAACUUCCCAACGAGCCUCUCCAGAACGACGACAUCAUAACAACCAUUGCUUUCGAUAAGCUCGGCGAUCAUCUCGCCGUUGGCGAUCGAGGUGGACGCGUUGUAAUAUUCGGAAGAGACGAUCGGAAAAAGAAUGUUUCGAGUAACCGAAGGGAUCUGGAGCAGCGGGGUUUCGUCUCGCAGCAUCCCGAAUUUCGUUACAAGACAGAAUUUCAGAGCCACGAACCCGAGUUUGAUUACCUAAAGAGUGUAGAAAUUGAAGAGAAGAUUAACAAAGUAAGGUGGUGGAUGACCCACGACAGUUUGCAAUUCAUUCUUUCAACCAACGAUAAAACAAUUAAAUUGUGGAAGGUUAAGGAGCAUAAGGUGAAACAAGUUAAAGAAAUGGCCCCUCCUUUGUGCUCAGAAAAUAUGCUUUUGGCGGAAAGUAGUUUCGUACCAGGGCUGGAAACCAAGUCUGCUGCUAAUGGCUAUCGUUUGGAAUGGAUAGAGAAGAUGCCUCAGAAUCAUUUGCCGCCUCAGGACGUUGAUAGCGAGAUUGGUGGAAUGGAAGACCCUUUUCGCGCAAAGCGCCAAAAGGUGUAUGGUUAUGCUCACAGUUUCAAUAUUAACUCCAUCUCAAAUAAUAGUGAUUAUGAGACCUUUGUGUCGGCAGACGACCUUAGAAUCAAUUUGUGGAAUCUUGAGGUCAGUGAUCAGUGUUUCAACAUUAUUGACAUGAAGCCAUCAAACAUGGAGGACCUUACCGAGGUCAUAACAUCAGCUGAAUUUCAUCCUUUACAUUGUAACCUCCUUGCAUAUAGCAGCUCACAAGGUUUAAUUCGUCUAUCUGAUUUGCGACAUUCAGCAAUAUGUGACCAUGCUUCUAGAAUAUUUCAACAUGGAGAGAGUUAUGGAUCAAAGUCAUUUUUCACAGAAAUCACUUCUUCCAUCUCAGACAUAAAGUUUUUAAAUGAUGGCCAGCAUCUUCUAAGUCGCAAUUACAUGAAUAUGAAGCUUUGGGACAUGCGUAAGGAGUCAUCUCCAGUCGCAAUAUUCAAAAUUCACGAGCAUCUGCGUCCUAAGUUGCCAGAGCUAUAUAAUAACGACUGCAUAUUUGAUAAAUUUGAGUGCUGCUUUAGUGGUGAUGGACUCCAUUUUGCAACUGGUUCUUAUAGCAAUAUCUUGCGAAUAUUCUCCCCAGGUUCUGGAAGAGAGGAAGGGAUUAAACUAGAAAUUAGAGGAAAUUCUAAUAGGAAGGCUAUUCGCCAAUCUAAGUCAAGGGCUAGAAGGUCUUCUCUAAGCAGCAUAAUGCCUCGUGGAAUUUACCAUCACGAUUCAAAGCGGCCUACAAGAGAAGAGAGAGUUGUGAUUAAAGCUUUCAAAGAACUAGUAAAAUUCACGCACGUCUCACUUAGUGGAAUCCACGUGUCAAGAGGGAGGCGCGACACUCAGAUGACGAACGCCAGGUGUCAAGCGAAGAGGGUCAGAAAGUCAGUUAGUGGAAAACAGGUGUCGACUGAAGAGGGGACGUUCGUUCUGACGCGCGGAGCAAAACUUGAAUUUUCAGAAAAAUCUACCCCACUCUCUGCAUGCACCCCUUUCCAGAUUUCUGAAGAAUCCCUUUCUCUCCUCCUUCUCUCUGCGUCUUCUUCAUCUUCUCUCUGAGAAAACACUCACCUUCUCUCCUCCGAUCACUAUUCUGGCACCGUAGGAUCACUUUCGGCGUCCCAAGCUUUAGUUUGAUCCGAUUGGUUUCAAAAUCUGAACGGUUUGAAGAGUUUGGUUGAACGUUGAGGGUAGAAGAAAUCUUAUUUCCGCAAACUGAGUUUUAGUCUGAAGGACGUACGUUCACAAUAGAGAUUUUACAGGUUGCACACACGCUCUAAAAAUCAAGAACACGAAGAAUUUGAAGAAUCUUGAAGCAUUUUUUAGAGGCAUUUUCGUGGACUAUAUUGGUUGAUCACAUUAGCACUACUACAGGUGUAUCCUACAGUAUGUGCAGGUGUAUUCUGUUUCUAUAUUUGAUUGAGAGUUUGGAAGGUGCUUACAUUUGAGAGAAUUCUAUAAAACCUUUGCUAUAAUACUUUGAUCAUUAUAGUGAAAUACUCUCCAAUCUAAGGUUGAUUGGGAGAGUGACUAGAUAUAGGCAUUGAGGUCGAACCAGGAUAAAAAUCUUGAGUUUGAUUA